rfam:Anaerobacillus sp. NB2006 Ga0137927_1001, whole genome shotgun sequence.
CUAGAAAAAUGGCAAACUUGUUGAAAAGCAAGGACGCAAAACUACAGGGGCUAAAGAAUAUCUACGCCAGCCAGUUACCUAU